UCCCAAAGAAAAAAAUCCAGAUUAAGGAGGAUUAAUCAUAAAGGAGAAUGGUUUAUUGAAAUAGUUGCUUAAGUUAGAAAAUAUGUCAUACUUUAACUACUGAAUACAGAAUCUAGGCGAUUUAACAAGCUUAGCUUUCAUUUUAGCAGAUUACAACCAAGCAUAAGCAGGCCCCUUUUAUUAGGACCACUACUUACUCAUCAAAGUUAAGUAUGCCAGUAUGGCUACAGGCCCCAUUAACUCAAAUGUAAAUGGUUGGUCCAAAGGCGAGCAGCAUAAUAAAACUAUGAGGGGCAGCAGCCACGCGCAGGGUCUGGCUUGGUGCCAGGAUCCCCCAUCUCACACAGGCUUCCUGGCCUCCCUUUCUGGCCAUUUGGGAUGCCAGAGCUGUCCUGAGACCUACAGAAUGCUUUAUAACCAAAUUCUGGUGACUGAUUCAUAUCUAUUCUUUAAAAUGUUAUUUAAAAUCUUACCUCAUCAAAAUAUUUUACGAUGUAUUUGUAGAUUUCUGUCAAGGCCACUUCUUCAUUAAAUUCAUUUUCAUGUUUCUUAAAGAAAUAAAGCCUUGUUGAGAGAUUCUGCAAGUGGCUUUUUUUUUUUUUUAAGAAAUAUCCAAAUACAGUCUUUUUACUUUGUAACAAUACCUUAGAUUCCUGAGUUAAGAAUUCUUCCAUCUCUGAAGAUGACAAUGGAGGCAAAUCCCUGAUUGCUUUGUAAUAAGACUUGACUUCCUCUUUGUAGGUUGGGAUAUCCUUGGCAUAGAGAAGUUUAUUAGUUGGUGCUUCCUGAAAAACAACCACCGCCAAAAGAGUUUUUAAAAAACCAUAGGGAAUUUAUAAGAGUACCAGUGUAGCUGAACCUCCACCACGAUUAUCUCGUGGUAACAAGGACUCUUCACACAGCAGGCCUUCAUAAACGUUGUUGACUGCCUGACUGACUGCUAUCCAGAUAGUUCUGGGAAGACAGAGUAGAAGAAGCAUUACCCAAGGAGACCGUUCGUGCUGCAGAAGGCAUCCGCUUCAGCAGGAGCACAAGAAAGCCUGAACUCACCAAAUGGCAGUGGUCUUCUGAGUAUUCCACAUCUGAACGCCACAGAAAGAGGGAGAGAAACAGUCCAUUAAAACAACAGCCACGGUUUCACAUUCUCAGGAGCAGAAACAGAUCUAAAUGCUUUCCUCCACUCUCUCAGAGAAUUACCUGGCAACCACUCAAUCUCAUCUUUGUGACAGUACAUCCGAGAGAGGCAAAAAGUGAUGCUUUAUAAAGUGGGGUGAGAACAAAAGGUUAAUAGCAUUAUGUCUGUUACCUGAAGUAAAAUUUGCUAUCUUCUUAAAAACUUUUAUAGAGGAUCCAUUUGAUAUCUGAAAGCAAAGAUAAAAAAUAGAUGAGUUUUCAAAAUUUGAUGUAUUUCUCAACUUUACCCAGGAAUUAGAUGGCUGGGUGGAUCUUAUAUUCUCUCACUUAUUCUAUCAAAUAUUUAUUAAGAAUUCCUAUGUUUUGGGCACUGGAGGCUGGGGCUAUAAUGAUAAGCAAGACACUGUCUCUGCCCUCAAAGAGUCUGCGGUCCUGUGAAGGUGGCAGACCGAGGCCAUGAGAUGCAGGGAGGCAAGUGCUCAAAGGAUGCUGUGGGGCCGAUAGGAGGUGGGCCAGCCCUGGACCAGGGGAGGACCCAGCUGUGCUGGGAGGCAUCUCAGCUUCUAGGGGACAGGAGAUGUUCGGGCCGUUUUCAUUUUGGGGGUUACUACUAUAUUAAGAAAUGCUGAAACAAGUUUUCAAAAACCUAUAAACUGGUAACAGAGCAGUUUCACAUCUAGGUAUACACCUGUACAUAUCCUGAGAUAAACUUUGUAAACACCCCGUACUGGAAAUAACCAUCAACAGUAGAAUGAAUAAAUAAUUUGGGGUAUAUUCAUAAAACAGGCUAUGAUAAAACAAUGAAAGUGAGCAAAUUACUGCUACCUGCCACAUGCAUGAACCUCACAGUGAUGAACGGUGAGCCAAAGAAGCCUGACAAAAUGGAAUGCAUACCGUGUGAUUCCAUUCUCAUUUAGCUAAAACAGUCGAAACUAUGAUUUAACUGUUUGGAGAAGAGAAAGGGGGGUGGUGAUUAGGAACGUCCAGGAGGGAGCUUCUGUGGUGCCCACAGUGCUCUGUUUCUUGAUCUGAGUGGAAGUUAUAAAUAAGAUAGGCUCACUUUAUAAUUCAUCCAGUAGUACACUUACAAUUUGUUUUCUUUUCUGCAGGUAUUGCUUAUUUUUUAAAAGAAUCUUGUAAAAAUCAUAAAAAUGCAUGUACUUUUAAAUAAAAACUUUAAAAUUGAAGCAUGACUUACAGGAAAGUGCUACUAUUAAGUGUACAGCUCAAGAACGUUCACUUAAGUACAUACUGUGUAACCACCGCCCACAUCAAGAUAUAAAAUUAUAUUUCAAGGUCCCAAGAAGUACCCCUAUUAUGCUUCUCAAUCAGUAAGCACCCCAUCUUCAUCCAGGGGUAAUCACUUUUCUGACUUCCAUUGCCAUUGAUUAGUUUUAUCUGUUCUUGAACUUCAUGUAAAUGGAAUCAUUCAGCAUGGGGUCCAUAUAAGGUCUACAGCGUUCAUCUGUGGUGUUGCAGCGACCAGUAGUUCAUCCUUUUUAAAUUACUAUUAUUCUGCUGAAUGAAUACACUACAAAAAAAUUGCUAUACAAUAAAAGGAAAGAAGUAUUGACACAUGCUACAUGAAUGGACCUCAAAAACAUUGCUAAGGGAAAGAAACCAGGCACAAAAGAUCCAAUUCUGUACAGAAUAGGCAAAUGUAUACAAACAGAAGGCAGGUUACUAGUUGCCUAAAACAGGAGUUGGAAGAAUGAGGAAUGACGCUGAAUGAGUUCAGGGUUUCUAUUUGAGUUGAUGAAAAUGUUCUAAAAUUAGACUGUGGUGAUGAUUGCACAACUCCACAAAUGUUCCAAGAACCACUGAAUUGUACACUU